UGGUGAUACUGUUGAGGCUUGAAUCCACCUGGAAAAGCUCGAAUGGUGGCGUGAAGCAGUGUUCAUCAUUUGGCAAAUGGCCGAGUCUUUUAUGUCUCCGGUGGUGGCGAGCGUUUCGCCGACGAAGUACAUAGUGCUCCGGACAGCAGGCUCGAUGCUUGAAUUAGGCUCGAUAGCCACGUUUUCCACUGCCAAAGCAAAUAUUGAUCAGAUUUAUCAACGCUUCUCACCGAAAACACUUACGAUUUCUCGCAGCGCUCCUCCUAUACUCC